UUAACUUAAAUUUGUAUGGAGUUGGAACGUUUGCCUACGUUUGCCGCUAGGGGCGCUGUUCCGACUGCAUACAAAUUUGAGUUA
rfam:Bombyx mori DNA, contig: Bm_scaf189_contig41293, strain: p50T/Dazao, build 2, whole genome shotgun sequence.